CUACGGGGUGCUGCAGUGAGGAAUAUUGCACAAUGGGGGGAACCCUGAUGCAGCAACGCCGCGUGGAGGAUGACGCAUUUCGGUGUGUAAACUCCUUUUAUAUGUCAAGAAAAUGACGGUAGCAUAUGAAUAAGCACCGGCUAACUCCGUGCCAGCAGCCGCGGUAAUACGGAGGGUGCAAGCGUUACUCGGAAUCACUGGGCGUAAAGGACGCGUAGGCGGGUUGGAAAGUCAGGUGUGAAAUCCUACAGCUUAACUGUAGAACUGCACUUGAAGCUUCUAAUCUAGAGUAUGGGAGGGGGAGAUGGAAUUAGUUGUGUAGGGGUAAAAUCCGUAGAUAUCACUAGGAAUACCUAAAGCGAAGGCGAUCUCCUGGAACAUUACUGACGCUAAGGCGUGAAAGCGUGGGGAGCAAACAGGAUUAGAUACCCGGGUAGUC
rnacentral:rRNA from 1 species